rnacentral:rRNA from 1 species
GGUAGUCCACGCCGUAAACGAUGUCGACUUGGAGGUUGUGCCCUUGAGGCGUGGCUUCCGGAGCUAACGCGUUAAGUCGACCGCCUGGGGAGUACGGCCGCAAGGUUAAAACUCAAAUGAAUUGACGGGGGCCCGCACAAGCGGCGGAGCAUGUGGUUUAAUUCGAUGCAACGCGAAGAACCUUACCUACUCUUGACAUCCAGAGAACUUAGCAGAGAUGCUUUGGUGCCUUCGGGAACUCUGAGACAGGUGCUGCAUGGCUGUCGUCAGCUCGUGUUGUGAAAUGUUGGGUUAAGUCCCGCAACGAGCGCAACCCUUAUCCUUUGUUGCCAGCGGUUAGGCCGGGAACUCAAAGGAGACUGCCAGUGAUAAACUGGAGGAAGGUGGGGAUGACGUCAAGUCAUCAUGGCCCUUACGAGUAGGGCUACACACGUGCUACAAUGGCGCAUACAAAGAGAAGCGACCUCGCGAGAGCAAGCGGACCUCAUAAAGUGCGUCGUAGUCCGGAUUGGAGUCUGCAACUCGACUCCAUGAAGUCGGAAUCGCUAGUAAUCGUAGAUCAGAAUGCUACGGUGAAUACGUUCCCGGGCCUUGUACACACCGCCCGUCACACCAUGGGAGUGGGUUGCAAAAGAAGUAGGUAGCUUAACCUUCGGGAGGGCGCUUACCACUUUGUGAUUCAUGACUGGGGUGAAGUCGUAACAAGGUAACCGUAGGGGAACCUGC